rnacentral:rRNA from 1 species
UACGUAGGGUGCAAGCGUUGUCCGGAAUUAUUGGGCGUAAGGAGCUCGUAGGCGGUUCGUCGCGUCGGCUGUGAAAACCCGGAGCUCAACUCCGGGCCUGCAGUCGAUACGGGCGGACUAGAGUUCGGCAGGGGAGACUGGAAUUCCUGGUGUAGCGGUGAAAUGCGCAGAUAUCAGGAGGAACACCGGUGGCGAAGGCGGGUCUCUGGGCCGAUACUGACGCUGAGGAGCGAAAGCGUGGGGAGCGAACAGG